rnacentral:rRNA from 1 species
AGAGUUUGAUCAUGGCUCAGGAUUAACGCUAGCGGCAGGCCUAAUACAUGCAAGUCGAACGGCAGCACGAGUAGCAAUACUUGGUGGCGAGUGGCGCACGGGUGCGUAACACGUAUGCAAUCUACCCUUAACUGGGGGAUAGCCCCGAGAAAUCGGGAUUAAUGCCCCAUAACAUUAUGAAGUGGCAUCAUUUUAUAAUUAAAGCUCCGGCGGUUUUGGAUGAGCAUGCGCGGCAUUAGCUAGUUGGUGAGGUAACGGCUCACCAAGGCUUCGAUGUCUAGGGGUUCUGAGAGGAUUCACCCCCACACUGGUACUGAGACACGGACCAGACUCCUACGGGAGGCAGCAGUAAGGAAUAUUGGUCAAUGGACGCAAGUCUGAACCAGCCAUGCCGCGUGAAGGAUGACGGCCCUACGGGUUGUAAACUUCUUUUGUACGGGAAAAAACCUUCGGUCGUGAACCGGAGCUGAUGGUACCGUAAGAAUAAGGAUCGGCUAACUCCGUGCCAGCAGCCGCGGUAAUACGGAGGAUCCAAGCGUUAUCCGGAUUCAUUGGGUUUAAAGGGUGCGCAGGCGGAAUGAUAAGUCAGUGGUGAAAUCUCUCGGCUCAACUGAGAAACUGCCAUUGAUACUGUCGUUCUUGAGUACACUUGGAGUGGGCGGAAUGUGUCAUGUAGCGGUGAAAUGCUUAGAUAUGACACAGAACACCGAUCGCGAAGGCAGCUCACUAAAUUGUAACUGACGCUCAGGCACGAAAGCGUGGGGAUCAAACAGGAUUAGAUACCCUGGUAGUCC